rnacentral:rRNA from 1 species
UGGGGAAUAUUGGACAAUGGGCGAAAGCCUGAUCCAGCCACGCCGCGUGUGUGAAGAAGGUCUUCGGAUUGUAAAGCACUUUAAGUUGGGAGGAAGGGCAGUAAGCGAAUACCUUGCUGUUUUGACGUUACCGACAGAAUAAGCACCGGCUAACUCUGUGCCAGCAGCCGCGGUAAUACAGAGGGUGCAAGCGUUAAUCGGAAUUACUGGGCGUAAAGCGCGCGUAGGUGGUUCGUUAAGUUGAAUGUGAAAGCCCCGGGCUCAACCUGAGAACUGCAUCCAAAACUGGAGAGCUAGAGUAGGGCAGAGGGUGGUGGAAUUUCCUGUGUAGCGGAGAAAUGCGUAGAUAUAGGAAGGAACACCAGUGGCGAAGGCGACCACCUGGGCUCAUACUGACACUGAGGUGCGAAAGCGUGGGGAGCAAACAGG